rnacentral:lncRNA from 1 species
AGGUGUAUGUGUUUGUAUGUACAUUUUGUCUUGUACGCAGACGUCUGUGUGCGUACGUGUUUCUAUUUCUGUGUAUUUAUACUCCAUUGCGUACAUACUGGAAUUAUGAUUCCACAUGAUUUCUUGCUAUAUUUGUUAUAAAUGUAUCUGCAUAUAAUGGUACUUCCUUUCCGAUGGAAUUGAGUUUAUGCUUGCAGUUUUUGUCAAAUUGAAAGCUUUCCUUUUUCCCCCCUCCAUACUGGAUAUCUUCAGGAUCAGUUGAAUUUUGUUUUUACAAAGUCCAGUUUGCUAAAACGGAGCAGAAAGCUCUUAUCUUUUAUUUUGUUUUUUUGGGUUUUGAAUUGCGACUACAUCCAUCAGAUUGUCCAAAAUACUACUAAAUUUCAUUGCUAGUUUUAUGGUUUAUUAUGAAACUUGUAAUUUUUCACAUAUUCUUAUAGUUCCCUGUUCACGGAAAACAGGUUUCUUGACUAGAUAAAAGGCUCAUUGGAAUCAGAAUAAGCUAACAUCAUGAGAUACAAAAAAGGGAGCGAAGUCGAAGUAUUUUGUAAAGAUGAGGUGCCGUCCGGCUCCUGGCGUUGUGGGCAGAUAAUAUGUGGCAACGGUCACCAUUACACCAUCAGGUGCAUUAUAGGAGCUAAGGAUGCGGCAAUAUUUGAGAGAGUCUCUAGGAAGUCAAUUAGGCCAUGCCCUCCUGUUGUUCAUGUAUCUCGGAGCUGGAUGCCUGGUGAUGUUGUUGAGAUGUUGCACAAUUACUCUUGGAAGAUGGCUACGGUCUCAAAGGUUUUAAAGGGAAACCACUUUUUGGUCAGGCUUGUCGGAUCCUCGAAUGAGUUCAAGGUUCACAAGUUUGAUAUCCGGCUGAGGCAAUCUUGGAUGGAUGGGAAAUGGAUCGUGGUUGGAAAGGUACUUCCAUUAAAAUCUUAUCUAUUAUUCAAUCAAGUUUUUUAUUAGUGGGUGUUUAAUCACACUCUUGGAAGUUUCAUUUGGUUAACCUGUAUCAACUAUCUCUUUCUUGAUUUUGCAUAACUAGAUGUGUAUGUUUUGUGCUACCUACUGCAAAGUAUAAUCUGAUUUGCGUUCAUGUCUGUGUUAUAGCAUGUCAGACUUGUUGAUAUUUGUUUUUUUUUUUUUUUCAUUUUUUACAUAGUAAGCCCAGUCAAUGUAUGACAGCCAUUUGUCAUACAAUCUUCCUGGAUACUGGUGCAGCAUCUAGUAGUGAGAUGCUAGCUCCUUGCUUGACUAUGUUCAUUAACUAUCCCUUGUAUUUUCUGCUUCAAACAGGGUUUUGGAAAUUAUGAUGAAGAGAAAUACUGUGAACAGCCAUGUUUCAAAUAUGAUUAUAUAUCAGGCUCCUUUAAGGGGAUAAAAGCAAAAUUAGAUUCCCACGAAGAAAAGGACAGUGUUGGUACUGUAAACAACAUCAACUUCCAGGAAUCACAUGUAGUUUCCAAGAAAAAUCUAAAGAGAGUGUCUCACAAUGUUUACCCUCAAGCUAAAGCACCUGAAAGUGCUCGAAAGUUUAGAGCCAUCGAAAAAGGUGGUAGACAUCAUCGAGUGAUUGUUGCUGAUCCUUCCCCGUUGCCUGAGAAGGUAGAAAAUUAUCCUCAUCCAAAGAAAUUGCCAGGAGAAAAGGACACAUGUUAUCUUUUAAACAAUAAAACUACAAUUUUCUCUCAAACGGAUGAAGGGCGGAUAAGAAUCAUCGAUGUUGCACAAUUUUCAAAUUCAAGAACUUCAGAUUGUAAUGAUGUGGAUGAUGAUGUGAGCUCUGUUGGCAGCUGUUCUAUUGGUUGGGACAAUCGCAUUAAGUGGCCUUCUAGGAUCUUGGCAUGUCCUGUUGGAUAUGCUGACGAUCAUUCCAGUGAUGCUGAGUCUGUUUGUCCGCUAAAUAAAGAGGAAGAUAACUAUUUACAACCCAGUGAAGAGGAGUUGGCUGUGGAAAUUCAUAGGUUAGAGUUGCAUGCCUAUCGCUGCACUCUGGGGGCUUUAUAUGCGUUAGGACCUUUAAGUUGGGAACAAGAAACGUUGAUGACAAACCUUCGUAUUUCCCUUCAUAUAUCAAAUGAUGAGCAUUUGAUGGAGUUAAGGAACUUAACAUCUAGUGCAACCGGCAUCCACGUUAGUUGACAGAAAACUGAUAUCGUAUGUUUUCCUUCAUAUUUGUUGUUGCUCUUGUAUGUAGAAUUUCUUUUGCAUUUUGUUAAUAGCUUCUGAACAUUGUAACAACAAUGAAAGGAUUCUAUUCGACAGGUUGGAUUUUGAUUACAAAAAAAGUUACGCUAAGUUCCACUGAAAUACUUUUUGUUAAGCAUUUCUAGAACGGAGGGCCUGUUUUUCAGCUCAUUUCUUUCUUGCCAGAUCUUCCUGCUUGUAUUGAAGAGCUUGAUGGUAGUAAAAUUUGUUUAGUGUAAAGUUUGAAGUUUACUUCAUAGCAAGUAGAUUAUCUUGCUGUAAAAGGGUGAUGUUUCCAUAGAUUGUGGCGUGAUUUAUGCUUCAGAACUUCCAUUUAGCGCUUGUGUAGUUUAGGAUCCAUUGGCAUAUUUAGUUUGAUUCCCUCCACACUGUUUACCAGCAUGGUCUUCCUGUCUUUGAGGCAUUAUUGACACUUCACCUGUAUUUCCAGGGCCCAUUUGGAGGCUCGUACGUCUUGAUUAGUUCUAAUGGUGAUGUUCGGUUUGCCUCCUUUCUCUUGAUGUAGACAAUGGGGCAACAUCAGCAUCAAACUAGCUAAAGCAGGUUAUUACACCAAUUUUGGUAUGAUUCAUGUUACUAUUUGCUGCCUUCUUGGUUUCCACUCACUGCCUAGUGGCUACUAGAGUUAAAAAGCAUUCCACAACGUAGGAUACAAAUUGACUGUAGGAUAGGAGUUGCGUACCCUGACCACUAGCCUUGUUAUGCUAAUUGACUAUGAUGUAGGAUACAAGUUAUGUACCCUGACCACUUGUCUUCUGUUCUGGUAAUGCGAAAGCAAUUCUUUUUCCAAAUAAAGUACAUGCUGUUGAACAUCCUUCAGCUAUGCUUCCAACACCGAGCUCUGCUAACUUGAGCCCAGGCAGAUUUCCAAUCAUGUUGCGGUGAUUUAUGGAAGCUGUGAUUUUGUUUCUGGUGGAGGAAAUGGAAAAUUGGUGAGAAAAUGGUUUGCCGGAUUCCUUUACAGACUGUCACAGAUUGGCGUCUCUCCUGGUGUGAUCUUACUCUCAUGCUGUUGUAAUUAAUAUGAUUUGGCCUUUGCAAUUCCACAUAUUAAUAAUCUCUAACUGCUUUGGAGUUCAGCUGGUUGUAUAUCUUCAGCUGAAGGGAAUGCACAAGUCCGAGUGUCUCCAUGCUGAGUGGUACAACUACUUAAUAAUCUGCGCUUUGCAUGUGUGAAACCUGAAGCUCGAUGUUGUCAAGAAUUCGCGUCUUUUUGAGCUAGACUAUUGGUACUUGGCAUGCUGGCGGGAGAGACUAAAAGGAAAUAAAGUUUGGAAUGUCUGGUUUGUUAAAUUUUUUUGGAGAAAGCGAGAUUACAGCCUUGCAUUGGGGUGGCAUAUUUUAGUUCAUAUAUUCCUAUUUAUAUUUUCAGAAUUGAAUGGAUCAGCAGGUAGGAAAAUUUGACUUCCAAACGUAGAAAUGCCCUUGCGACUUUGAACAAUUGUGUUAUCUGUGUCUUGCACAAUAAGCUCUUAGUUUAAAUCAUGUGGAGUUGUCAUCAAUGGUGAGAGAGAAGAUACUUAUCAGCAUCAGUUUAGGAAAUAGAUUUCCAUCAAUGAAAGCUCCCUUUUCCCUAAAAUACGGAAACGGUACCCAUCUGUCUCUAGCAGGUCUGCUGCUCACUUUGACGUAUAGCGAACCUUAUUUAGUUUGUGUGAGCGGUUUCACUGCUAGAAGCUGUCGUCCUCCUCCCCCAUGUGGAGCUACUUCACUAACUUAUUCUGGGGUUAUUUCUCUUUGGCAUGAACAAGAAGGAAAAAAGUUAUGAUUGCUGGCAAAGUUCUGCUGCUGUAUGCAUAUACGUAGGUGUGUAGGUGUCUGAUUCUUCGCGCCUUUACGCUCUUAUCAUUUCUGGGAUGAUUUUUCCAUUAUUGUGUUGAUUCUAUUUCUUUACUUGACUACGUUCUGCAGUAAUUGUACAGUCGAAACUGCAAGCUAGCGCCUUUUUUGGUUUUCUAUCUGGGGGGCUUUGUAUCUUCAUCUUCUUUCUUCUGUCGCGGAUAUGACGGAUAAUCUGUGCCUGUUGGUUUAAGCGUUUAUUCAUGUGGUUAAAUAUAUUUCUGAUGCGGCUUCAAUUCUACGUCUGGACGGACAAAGUUGGUUGCCCGUCAGGAGGAGUGUUUGUUCCUUCGUCCCAAAACUCCUCUCGCCUUCUUCGCCCUCAAUAGAUCGAUCAUUGACUGUUGGUUCCAAGUUCCAACCAAGAAAAGGCUGCGUCAGCGUCAUUCCUCACCUGUUAGCUGCUUGAACAUGAUGAUUGAUGAUCUGAGACUCAUUGACAUUAUUUAGAUUUAAUAAAUAAUCCAGUGACGGCGGGGCGGGCUGAGGACUCGUUUGAGCCUGACUGCCUUGAUUCAAAACUUCACAACGUACGACCACCGUACAAUAUUUAUUUAUUUUUCCAUUUUGUCCGAAGGAGAAACAGGAUUGAUGUUUAGCUGAAGCCCAAUUUGAAGUUUAAUGAAACGGUAUGUCCAUCAAUUGGGCCCCAAGAUUUCAGAUAUAGUUUCAGUCCAGUCCAUUGUAGUCUUGUUGUUACGAGUAUUAAAUGCGUUGGGCCUGGGAUCGGUGAAAACGGCAGAGACCAGGAUGCUCCUCUGCAUUUAAUGAUCUAAUAAUUAGACGUGGAUGGACAUCAUCAUUCAAUUACACGACUAUUACUACUACUACUUAUUUAAUUCAUGCCUUUCAUCGCUUCCGCUGAUUAUGCUUUUAUUCUAUUCUUAGUAAAUAAAAAAUGAUUAACUCACCCAAAAAAGGAAAAUAAAUAUUUUUUUAAUUGGGAGAAAAGAAAUUAAUUCACCUUAAAAUACACGUAACAACAAAUUGUACAACCACCUCUAUUGAUGGCAUGUAUACAUAUACUCCCUCCCUUUUUUUAUAACUGACGUUUAAGGUUUUGCACACUAAUUAAGAAAAGUUUUUCAUUGUUUAAAUCUAUACACUACUUUCCUUUUAUACCCUCAUUAAUUGUUUAAUUCACCCAUAUUUUCUCUCACUAGAAUAUUAAAUGGUGCUGUUUUACUAGGCCAAAAGUAAUGCAAACUAACUCCCACCAAUUAUGAAAAGAGAGAUAAAAGGGUAAAAUUGUGAAAAAAUAAUUAAUGCUGCAUGGGAAUAAUAAAACGACAGAUAAAAGUACUUAAGAGCAAAUUUCUUAAACGUCAAUUAUAAAAAAAGGGAGGGAGUAUAUUACAGUAAGUAAUAAGUAGCAGUAUACUUGUUGAAUUCAGAGCAAAAUUUCUCAAUGCCGCCGCCGCCCCGCGGGGGGGGGGGGGGGGGUUCCCAUGAAAACAGCUCUCCUUCACCGGGAACUUUACGCAUUAUUAAUGGAUUAUCUGGUACCAACUUUACGCGAUUCAGAUUAUUAAUUACUCGUGCCUUGCAUAGUAAAUUUGUUAUUGGAAUUUAGAAAGAAGGUGCGCAAUUGAGUAAAAGUUGGGAGGGAUGGAUAACCCAACCCCCAGGCAAGAAACCUACAAAUGAGUUGUACAUUUAUGUGGUUCCACCAAAUCCUCUGCCAUUGUCUUAUUUGCAUCGAUCAUGAUUGGGUACUCCCAUGUGAUCAUGCCUCCCCUCCGCCUUUGCAGUUUGCAAGAGGGUUUAGCCUUCCUGGUCACAUCUAUAUCCUUAUACUAUAUAUGUAGGUAUGAUCCGACUGAUCCUGUCUUCUUCUUCUUCUUUUUUUUCUUUCUUAAUUAAAAAAAAAAACAAAAAAGCCUAAAAAAUAUACUAUGAAACCACAAACUUUACCAUGCAUGCUUCGAGUAGCAGCAGCAAUACAAAACAUUUAGUGGAUUUCUGCCGUUUCAUAAUUAAGGCCAUGAUCGAUCGAUCAUGCUGUGGGCGAAAGAUCAUUGUCGAAGACAUUUAGUGGAUAAACUCAACUGAUGUGCGUGCCAGCGACGUUCGUUGAUCAUCAACAAGUAAAAUUGGCGGCCGUGGCUAUAUGCAAAUUUACUUACCGUAGCUCAUUCUCUACUUUGUCGAAGUUGCAAGAUAUUUGAUUUGUCCCCAGUUCUAUAUACGAUCACAUGCAGACAUGUGACCUGCUGGUUAUGCGUAUAUGUAUUUUACAAUGAUAAUCAUUUUUAUGGCAAGAAAAAAUAGAUUGACAGCUGAUUGGUCCGCCAGCCAAAGGGUGCACUGUCCUCUGCG